GGGGUUUUUGGGUGGUGCGCUUUAAUGUUGCUGCAGAUAUAGUCAUAUAGGAGAGGAAGGAGAGAAGAGGCAAAGAUAAUAGAGAAGGGGGAGGAGCAGGCAAGACAACCCAAAGGGGCAACACAGGGAUUGGAGUUAUUAUAUAGAUUUGGUACCGUAUCAUGUUAAAAAUUAAUAGCAAAUAAUUCAAGUGAUUUGAGCUUUGUGCUGGAAGUGAGAAAGGCCAACAAUGACCAAUACUAACCAUGGCAUUAUUUCAAGAAUGAAAUUGUGGUCUUGGCCCGACAAGAAGCACAAGCAUGAAUUUCAUUGAAUAUUCAUUAUUCCAAUUGAAGUUAGUUGAAACCCAUAGACAACAUCUCAGUGAAGUUACCAUUGAAUAUGGCCUCCAUUCUUUGUGCAACGAUGUAGAGUGAGAGCAUACUAUCGAAGCAGGUACCAAGAACAUUGAUUGGGUAAUGUAUCCCUAAAGACUGAAAUUAUCGACAAAGUUAGGCAUUUUCAUCAUUGCUUCCACUCACAAGCAAAAACAUCUUGUGGAACCCUUCAAUGGAAGCAAUACAUAUUUGGCAAUUGGUAAACACAAGUUACAACAGCACUUCUAGUAAUUGAGUAGUAAACUUAUCAAGUUGAGCUUGAACCAAACAAGUUUUGUUGGAACUUAAUCUAUAUAUCAAAUGACCACACAAUCUCAAUUAAUUCUCCUGUUACUGUAUAAAUGCAACUUGAAUUCUUCUUCAAUCAUAAUCCUGAUCUCCAUAUUCACAGUUCUACCAUCCAUCUAUCAAUUCCAUUCUGCCACUAUUAUAGCAAGGAUGAUACUAUUUGAUUGGAUGUGUGUAUUAGUUAAAGAACUAGUACAAUGCAAUUCAUAGGAUAUAGUCAAAAAGAAUGUUCCAUAGUUUAUUUAUAAAUGGUGUCCUGCAGACUGGCUUCAGUUUCAUUAAUAUGCAAAACAUAUACUGUCAAAUGCUUUUACUGAUAAUGGGUCCAACAACAAGGGAAAAAAACAUGCUAACUGAACUAUACUAUGGAGCACUUCUAUAACAACAGUUCACAGAAGAAUCAGAAGGUCUAUUUCAUGUGCAUGGCUUGUUGCCCUCUAAUUUGUACCAUGUGUGAUGCAUUUAUACUGAAAUUCCUAUUCCUGGAACAUAUUAGUACAAAUGAUUUCAGUAGGUAUCCAACAUAUUCUGUUUAAUAGUUCAUUAACAUGGGAAUUUUGGUUCUAGUGCGAUUAAAAGGCAUCAUAUGUCAGUUUAGGUAGAGGGGCAUAAAUAGAUGUCAUCAAACAAAAGGAUAAGGAACUUCAUUCAUGAUGAGAAACAAUGGUUGACAUAAUUGCCUAAAGUUUAAUAAUGCAACUUCAGAAAGAACUUAAGCAUGUAUCACUUUAACAUCUCCACAAGUUUUCAUACUAAGAUUGCUUCCUUUAUGUUUCUGGCAAAUUUCCAACAUUGUAAGUGUAUUUCUCGAAUCAAAGUAGUACACCUGUAAUGUAAUCACUCGCUAUAGAAAAUAAGAGAUGUCAGUACGGAUAAUUGACAAUGGUUUUGUUAUCAUGCUUAAAGAGGAGGAGGAGGAGGAGGAGGAGGAGGAGAGGACCAGAAGCACCAGCAGCAAAGGAAGAAGAGAAAGAGAAGUAAAGAAAAGAAGAAGAAAAAAGGAGUAGUCGCAUAGCAUCGACAGCAGGAAUGCAAAGAAGAAGAGGAUGAGAAGGAGGAGCAGGAGCACCAACAGCAGCACCAGCAACAAGGAGGAGGAGGAGGAGGAGCAGUAGCACCAGCAAAGAAGAACCUGCAGCAGGAUAGCGGAGGAGGAGAAGCAGCAGGAGCACCCGCAGCAACAUGGCAACAGAGGAGGAGGAGGAUAAAAAGGACUAGGAGCGCCAGCAGUGAAGAAGACGAGAAAGAGGAAAAGAGAAUGGGUUGGGUUUCUCUUCCAACCCGUCCCGGAAUGGGCGUUAUGGCAAAGAACAAGAAGAAAAAGAAAGAAGGAUGAAGAAAAGGAGGAGCAGGAGCAGGAGCAGCAGCAACAGCAGGGUAGCAGAGAAAGACUUAUCAGAGAGUGGAGAAGCUGGUCAGAGUCCUAGAUCCGCUGGAGAAGAAGAAGAGCUAGUUGGAAUCCGCUAGACAAGGAGCAUCAGAGCCUCUAAAUCUGGCAUUCAUCUUUUUCCUUUUGGCUAAUCAUCAUGAUCAAGUGGCUGAAAUUCAAAAAUGAUGAGGCAUGCUUUUUUCUAUGCCUAGAAUUUUCUCAAUGUACAAAAAAGUCAUGCCAUUUUAGCGCUUAAGCAAAUGGACUUCACCUUGGGCUACAAGGUGGUUUGGCUGGGCUUUGCCUGCACCUUGCACCUAGGCAUGCUUCAGGCGUGCCUUUGACACACUGUUGUUAACAAAGAAAUGUCAUCUUUUUUCCUCGCACAGAAUGAGGUCAUUAGAAGAUAAACUAUUAAAAAUUUGCAUUUCAUAAAAUUUGUUUUAUGAUUCACAUGGAUAAUAGAUCAAAAGCCAAAUGGAGAGGAAAGAGAUAAAUUUUUGAACAUUAAAAAAAGGAAAACAAAAGUAAUGCUUCCUACAUGAUUGUGUAACAACUUUCUAUACAUUCCUUGACCAAGGUUCUGAAUUUUGCAAAAAAAAAAAGAUACUAUUCUGGAUAUACAGCAAUCUUCCAUACACGAAGAUACUCUCACCUUUUUGACCCUUGAGUCAACUAUAUGUUCCUCAAACUGUGUUAACUGGAAGGAGUAGAUCCUGCGCUUCUUAAACACAUCAUAUCUCCUUGCCCAUAAACCUAGGAUGACAAAAGAAAAGUUCAAUAGAAAUAAUACAAAAAACGAAAAAAUACAACUUCAAUCGAAAGAAUACAAUUAAACAAAAACUGUUGCAUAAUGGGUAAAAAACAGAAAUAAUAUAACGUCAUAUUGAAAAAAAAAAUUGAAGGAUAGUUUAAUUCCUGCAUAGACAACAUAAAAGGCUGGACAACUACAAUAGAAGUUUAGAUUGUCUUAAGCUUCUUGAAAAUCCAAAGUUCCUCACCAUUCUAAGAGUUGUUGGAUAUCAGAAAUCUAGAUAUAUCCUCGGAUCUUCAACAACCAGAUCAUGCUUAAAUAAUCAAGUCAAGGAGCGUAACAAAUCUGAGGAUUAUUCACCAAUGGUAAAAAUUUGUAAAUCAGAAAAUUUCAAGAGAAAGUAAGGACAUGCCAAAGAUUAAAAAUAUCUACAUUAAAAAAAUAUAGAAAAUGUUUAAUUUGGUAUUUAUGGUGGUAUGUUUUAUUAAUUAUAUGAAACAUGCGGUCCCUUCCUCGCCUCUGCCCCGCCCCCCCCCCCCCCUCCUCCAACAUAUGCAUGUGAUUGGGAGAAUUUGUUUUCAGAAAAUGCCACUUAAAACUAAUUGGGUGUUCUGUGAGAAGUCUUUAUGACUUCUAAAUAUAAACACUUUGCUUUUCAUCUACCCUAUCCUACACCAGUAAAUGCUUUAUAAAUUUCCCUAUCUUUCCAUCAACUACCAAGACUAAAAUGUAGACUUGAAAGGUGAUUGUUCUGGAAUAAACUCGAAUUGGUUUUUCAAAAAUCAUCAUUUUCUUUCAUCCAUCAUACCAUCACCAUGUUAUCUAGAAAAAUGGGAGGACCCAAGUUAACAUAGAUUGACUGGUUAUGAAGGACCUGGAAAAGCUUGCAAUAACACAAGAUGCAGCCUAAAAUUAAGAUUAAAGGAAAAAAGUCAUAAGGCCAAAAUCCAUAUUGUGCAGAUAAAACUUAAAGGUUGUGUUUAUGGUUAUCAUAUGAUAUUCCAUCACAUCCUCCCACAACUUUGAAAUGUGGCUCAAGUUUAAUACCUCAAUAUUUAGUGUGAUUCUGUAUAUUGCCCUUACAGUUACAAAAGGGUACUUAGAUACUUGUUUAGUUGUUCACCAUGGUACUUACUUUCAAUAUUUAACUAGAUAAUCUGUUUUACCAUGAUAACCCAAUCUUUCAAUGAUUAUUCUUCCCUAAACAAUUGGCACCGUGUCAACUCUUCGUGCCGCACCCCUUUUUGCCUACUUAAAAAGGUGCCUCCAAAGUUGAAUUAUUUACAUGAAUUGAAUGGUGACAAAUAUAAGUCAUCCUGAUUUUGGCUUCUCUUAUAUUUUCCUCUAAGAGAUUCGUCAAGCAAUUACUUAUGUAAAUAAAUAUUAAGUCUUUCUUAAUCUCACCAUCUUUCAAUAGAAACUGUAUUAUAUCAUUCUUGAUGAACUUUAUUUGAUCAGUAUCUGCUAUGUAUUAGUAUUCCUUCUUCAAUACCUCACUUAUAUAAAAUUAACACGUCUACUUCUACAGAAAUCUAUGACCUAAAAAUUUCUCCUUCUCCAUUCAUAUCUCUCUCUCAAGCUAAAAUAUUCAAGUAAGAAGAUACCCUAAUACCGAGUUUGUUCUAGAAUUUCCUUUGUCCAUGCAAAGACUGAAGUCCAGUACCAAUGGCUCAAACACUAAUAUAUAUAUACUUCAUCAACAAUUGACAAGCAUGUGUGCUUCUCAAAAUUGGACCGCGGUAUUAAGAAAGCAUGGCAGACGAGAUUCACACUAGCAUAUACCUCUUGAUCAACACACAAGUACAACAGUUGAAUAUAGCAGCAAUAAAGGUACUAAAGGAAGUUGUACCAAUCAUAAAUAAGUAGUGGAAUUUUGUUUGAGAUAACAUGGGCAUGUGCCUAGUAAUGUGACUCAGGUUUGUGUCGACGAGGUCAGGAAUGAUGACAGGAAGACCUGAUAAUAUCAUGACGGAAUUGUGACAAACGUUUUAGCCAUUAAUAGGAAUGGAUUAACAAAUAACACAAUUGCAAGAAAUCUGUUUGAUGAUUCACCAAGAAAUACAAGUUGUUAUCAACUUCAUGAAUCAUUCAAGAGCAAGAUCAGAUAAUAACAUGACGGAAUUGUGACAAAUGAUUUAGACAUUAAUAGAACUGGAUUCACAAAAUAACACAAUUGCAAGAAAUCUCUUUGACGCUUCACCUUCACCAAUAAAUACAAGCUCUUAUCAACUUCAUACAUCAUUGUAGAUAUGUUUAACAUGAUUCACAAGUCACAUAUUUAUACAAGAACUACUUUUCAAACAUCUAGUUAUGAUGGCUUGAAGAGGCACCAAUAUGGAUGAAUUUUAGUUGCUUAUUUUUGUUUAAGUUUCCAAUAAAAAUAUUGGUGAAGAGAGACUUCUUAUUACUUCUAUGCCCAGGUGUGUUCACUUCUCCUCAGGUCAUUCAUGCAUGGCUCAUGUCCAUUGGAUAACUUCCCAGCACUCUUAAGAACGUCGCAAAUUCCUGUCAAGAGAAGGCUCUGUCAUAAUUACCUUUGGGUUUCCUAGAUAUCUUGCAGGGACUUCCGAAAGACAAUACCUUUAGGUGCCUAAGGGCAUUCUGAGCAUUUGGUGCAGCCAUUGAUGCUUCAAAAUCUACAUAGAAAAGAUAGUCAAAGUACCUGGGCACAGUAUUUUCAACAAAGUUAAUAUCCAACCAUUUGUAUAUUUAACAUUUGUAACAUUUUUUGGAUACGUCGAUAUACGUAAAUGCACAAAGAAACAUGAAAAUAUAGAACACUUCUGGUAAUAACUUUAGAGGCCCAUUGCUGCCAUCUUCAGUCACGCGUAAGGGCUUUUUCUUUCGAGGACGACUUUCAAUCUGAGACAAAAGUAUUUAUUACAUCAGAAAGCAUGCCCACAUGCUCAAUACUGCACUAAUGUCAAAACCAUAUGCAGUGGUACAAGAUGUUGAAACAUGCCUUUGUGAGGUUGAUGUCUCUCAUGGCAAAAACAGCAAGGGCCUUAAAAAGCACACCAGGCCCUUCUUCUAGAGAGAAAACUAUGCUCGUCUGAGAAUGACAGGAUACUAGUGUCAUCAGUCAGAUGAAGUAAACAAGCUAUGGACCAGAAUAAUAUAGAAAUUAAAACAUAAGUUCCACUUGUGCUUCCCUAUAAAGAAAGGUUAGUGAUGUUAUCUUUAAAAAAAAUAGCAAGCUACUUCUGUUGCUAAGCAUACCUUAAAUGGUUUGUUGGUACCUGGAAUAAUUGGCUCUCGUGCUAGCAUUAAAAAUCGAGUAACAUUAUCAGGGUCAUCCUACAGAACAAGCAAUAUUUUACUGAAGUACACAGAUAGCCAUGUGCAUCCAAUCAAUGAGAAUAGAGGAAGUACCUGGAUAUCUUGGGCAAGAAUAUUCAAACCAUAAAUUUCAGCAGCCAAUGAACUGGCAACUGCCCCUGCAUCUUGGAGUUUUUGGACAGCAACAAACUAGAUAGACAAUAUGUUUCAUAAAUUUUCAAAAUGAAGGAAAGAAACAUUAGAAAAAGAAUAAAGCUUGGAUCAGUUAGAAUUUUAGUCUCAGAUUUUCCUUAUCAUAUUUGAAGUUUACCACAUCAAAUCUUGAUUUGAAUUAUAAUAAUUUUUACUCAGAAAAUUUAAGAUUGGAUAAGGAAGAAAGAACAAAACUAGAUAACAAAGCUAGAAUCGGUGUCUUACUUUUGCAGCUCCUGCAGUAUCAUCGACAGCUUCUCUGACAACUCCCAACUUUGUAAGUGUAUGCUCACACUGUGCGAGAGCCUGAGAUUUCAAUUGAGUUAGCAACAAGCCACAUGACAUCCUAAUGCCUUUUCAGCUAUAACAAAUUUGACUACAAUGAAAACAAAGGCAAUGUUUACUUGAGGGUGGCUGAGAACUCUUUUUAAAUCUUCCUUUUUCACACCAGGGUUGGCUAGUAAGCAAUGCCGAACUGCAUAUUUUACUUCCCCGACAAUAUGCAAUUUAUGACGAAGUAAAAGGUCGUAGUUGCGAUGGAUGCUACCACCUAAUGAAUUUUCAAUGGGUAGAACUGCCCGAUCAACAAGCCAACGUUCAAGAGCCUGCAAGAUGACAAAAAUAAUGUUAGUCUAAGCAUGCUAUCGAAACCUUAUAGACUGACUUAACCUUGUUAGCAAAUGAUAAGUUCCUGCAGGACGUCAUGGCUUGGGAGUACCAACAUGUCAGAAUAGUGGCCAGGACGAUAGCGGGAUGUACAACAAGAAUCCUUGGAGGUUGUCAAGCAAUCCAAUAAAAGAAAUGGAAGGACUAGAGAACAUGGAUUGAAGUGGUGCAAACAUUUGAAAGAACUUACAGCAGCAAUAUUAUAGUACUUAAAAAGCAUACCUUUUGACAAAGGGUUCACAAAACUAACCCUUGGUAUUUAAAAGAAGGCUCGAUGGCUAUGGUUUAUGGUCAUGGCUUCUCUUGCCUGCAAGUUAUAUGAAGCGGAAAGUCUUGUGCACCUCUGCGGUAGCAAACUGGUUCUUAAGAAUCAUUAUAAACAGGAAGGCCAAUCCUACAGUUUGAAGCCUCUAUCCAUGUAAGACCAAGCUAAUGAGUACAUCAGUAAAUGGUACAAUCUUACAUGCUUUUGCUUUCAGACAGUUUUUUUGGAUGCUUAACACAUGUAGAACAGAUGAUAUCACACAGAAAAAGGUGGGUAUCUCCAGUGAAAAAAUCUUCUUCCAAGUGUUUGAUUUCUCGGCAGUGUAGAAAACCCUAGGCGGCCAAUAUAUUAGUAACAUGAUUUUCCUUUCAGUUUAGAUACUACCAUCCCAUAACUUGGUUCCCCUAAUGCCUCGUGAUUCAGAUCAUAUAGAAAUUUCGACACCGCCAAAGUGAUAACAGCAAAAAUAAAAACUUAACAGAAAUAGUAUCUAAAAGGAAACAAAAAUAUCAAAAACUCACAUCGAAGGCAGUUUCAAAUAGUUCGCAUGGAACGGCUUCGCAAUUCGGGUAUGCCUUUGCCGCCGCAGCUUCACUAUAUGCACCCGGAAGACCCUAUAUCACAGCGAAUCCAUUGCCCAAACCACACCCACAGGCAUCACCAAAAAAAGAAAGCAAGAAAGAGAUAAAUUUCAAGAAAACAAGAAACCGAUAGGAAGAACAGGAAUACGAAAUGAAUAUCGAUUGGAGCCAAAAAAAACAUGUGCAAGAAUUCGAACCUGGUAAGCAACUCGAAGACGAGACCCAUUAACCGAACCAGAGACAUCAGAUAUUGAGAGAGGUUCUAUAACAAACGCCAUUGGAGAAAUUUUGACAUCAAAAGGAGAACAAGAAAAGAAGAAAGAAAGAAAAGAAAAGAACCACAGAUAGAUCUGGCCAAAAAUGAGAUAACUUUGCUUACUGGGUAGCGAUGGGGAGUCCUUGAAAGCGAUCUCGGGCUGAAGAUCAUCGAAGACGGUAUUCAACUCGAGAGCUCCGGUAUUGUUGUUGCCGCCGCUGCCUGUGUCUUCUCCUUGGAUGGAGGUCAUCGCAGAGGCCUUCCGCCGCGAUCUAAUGGCGAUCAUCGAGGGGGUUUUGGUGGGUUUUCUACAGCCCUCGCCGCCGGUGGAUCCCCUUUCGAGCCAUGGGGUUCGCGCGAUGGCUGUGGAAGCCAUCGUUUCCGGGGUAGAAGAGAAGAGAAGGCGAGGGUUUUGAUCCCUCGCUCGCUCUCCGGAUUUGGUUGGAAUAAAGAAGCAAUCACCAGGAGGGGGAAGGCGGCGGACCGGACGUGGCUCCGGGCGUGAAGAAGCGAGCGAGGAACGGAUUUCCGUGAUGGGGGAAACUCCACCGCGGUGAUCGCGCGCCGAUAUGGCAGUUUCGACACGAAUGGCCGAUCCAGUGCGUGGUCGCCGACACCGAAACGCUUCGGCAAUGUAUGGCCCCAAAACCGGGACCCGCGGUUUGCAGCGCGGGCAGCUGCAAUUUGAUCAUGGACUAUGCCGAGCCGAGUCCAGCAGCAGCCCAACUUUAUUCAAAAUAUUCCGACUUGAAAAUCCAUCAAAUCCUACUAUUGACCCUCAAAUUUUAUUUGAUAUUAAAAAAAUAAUGCCCAAGAUUGACCCAACCUAAAUAUCAAUCGAGAUAUACUUGAAUUUAAGUUUGAACUCAAAUUCGAGUUUUAAUAGCAAUUAAAGAAUAUAGUUAAAAUCAAAUAUAACAUAAUUUUACAUUUUAAAAUAUUAAUUAGUGAUAUAUAUAUAUAUAUAUAUAUAUAUAUAUAUAUANNNNNNNNNNNNNNNNNNNNAUAUAUAUAUAUAUAUAUAUAUAUAUAUAUAUAUAACUAGGCUCGUGGGUCUUCAAAUCGAAUAUUUUGCUAUUCGAGUUUGACUCGAAAAACUAUUGGAGCUACUCGUGCUCGAUUUGAGCAUAAUAAUAAUUGAGUCAACUUAAGUUUGGAUUCGAGUCGAGCUCCAGUAACUCGUAAGUUGUUCGGCUCAUUUGUACCUUUAGUCUAUAAGGACCUAACCAACAAUCCUUAUGUUUAGGAGGUUUUUAGUAUGGCCAAGACUGUAAAGCUAACUAUAUUAGAUAAAUGAUCUUAUCAAUUUGGAUUUAAGACUUAUUACACUCUAGCCAUGUCAAUUUGUGAAUAUAUUCUUUUAAUCAAUAUUGAGAGAGUUUGGAGGUAUGAACUUAUUAUGCCACCAAGCUACUCUUGGAGUGGCUUAAACUCCCACACAUACAAUGUGUUUAGGCGUGAUUAACUAUAGCUCGACGUAAGCUUUGAUUUUGGUCCAUGCUAUUGUUGAGCUCAAGUAAAACCAAAGCUUGGUAGCUUGGCUAAGCAACUCACUACCUAUUGGGUUCACUUCUAAAGCUAGAUUCAUAGCAAGUGAUUAUAUAUUUUCUUGUAUCAUGCAAUUACCCAUGUCUCUUUCCAUACUAAAAGCCCUGAGCUUGAGUAGUCCUUUACCAGUUGAGUUCAUAUCAUCUCCAACACACUGUUGAACUAAAGAAGGCCAGUUGAUUGGUCAUGAACAUCUACAUACGACGCAACAACUAAUUGUAUGGGUCCCAUGUGGCAUAUUGUCCCAUAUACAAGAAAUUAUACCCUACAUCGCAUACACCAAGUGGCCAUGCACUCUUUCAAUCAUCUCAUCUCCUUGCUAUAUGAUCUAUUCAUCGUGCACUCAUCUCGAUAGUUGGUCUACAGAAAAAUAUUAAAUCAAGGAGGAUUGGUUGGACAACUAUGGCCAAUAAUCCAACUUGAUUGUUUCCAUUAUUUAUUGCCCUGGAUGUGAAGUAUAUCUUCACAACUAUUUGAAUAAUUGAGGACCAGUACCUUAGAUUCUUGGAACUACUUUCAUAGGAACUGUAUAAUAUGGACUGCUAGAUGAACAUGAGCCAUACCAAAGUAUGAAUAAAAUCUUAUAGAGUACACCGUAUACAUGGUUGUUGCAACUAAGCCAUAUUUUCUUGCCAAACUUCUGAGUUAUGCAUAAACAAGCUUACACAGCAUAUGAUCAAGAGAGAAAGCGUACACAAAAAGGAAAUGAUUUUCCUUGCCCCAAUGUACAUUACUCUCUCUCCCUCUCAUCCUUUAAACAGUAUUUUAAAAGUUACUAUAGUUUACUUUUAACUAAGCAUUCCAUGGUUUUUGCACCAUUUAUGCAACUUAAAAAAUGGUAUGAUAGACUAGACUCCUUGCCCAAAAUCAGAAGCAUAGUAUGUAAAUCUAUGGCAUGAAAUGAUACAGGCUCAACAUCCGAAUGACCCUUGUCUAAUGGACUUACUUAAAAAAAAAAGUCAUCUUGCAAUAAUUUAUGAUUUGCAUCAACCCCAUUUUCUCUUUUUUCCCCUUUUUUUACAAUUAAAUAUGUUUCUACAAAAUAAAGGCAGCUUUUGAUGAAAAUAGCUCUAUUGUAUGCGAUAUUGCUUUCAUAAAUUAAGAUACAACCGGCACAACUUUUUUUUCAAAACAAAAAAAGGGUGCAAUUAACAUUUUGAUGGGAUCUACAUAGUUUUUUAGAUGGAAGGUAUCCGUAUGUCAAGUUAUAAAACUAUAUAUCUGGACUAAAUAUUUAAUGGAGUUUUUUUUUGAUGAUAAAAUAUUUAAUGGAGAUUAUAAUUUAGGGGUUUUUUUAUACAUAUCCUUGCAAUAUAAAAAUGUUGAUCCAGGAUCAGGCCUACAAAAUUAUUAUUUUUAUUUCUCGAAGUUGAAAAGAGACAAUAAUUCUUCCUCAUGUGGAAAAAAUUAUUUCCAAAAGCAGCACUUGGAUCAUCGUUUCUGGUCAUAUAAAGUUAAACAGAGUCAGGUCAGCUCGGGUCCUUCGAGCCCAUUUCCAGCACAAGACCAAUAGAAAUCUGCAACAAAACCGAUAGAGUAUUCUGCCCAAGAAACCCAUGCUCAAAAGAUUUGUAUUCCUUGUUUUGUACCUGAAACGAUGGUCGUCGUGGGAGGGAGACUUGACUUACCAACGCGUCGAGGACUGGCCGGCCGGCUCGGGGCUUCGGUCAAACUCCACCGCGAGUUGAAUGACGCGCCGGCUGGAAACCGUGUGAAAUUGUUUGGCUGAACGAACCGUGUCAUAUUUUGCUGUCAACGCCGUGGCCAGCGGACACGUGUAUUCUAUCACUUCAAUCGCUGUUACAGGACUUAACAUGCCCUGCCGGACCAAUAUUUUUAGAACCUCAACGGAGAGGAAACCGGCAAGCAAUCCGAUCCCCCAGUUAAUAUGUUGGGCCGGUAUAAUAUUAUAAUUAUAUAUAUGUAUUAAAAUAUAUUUUUUUGAAAAAGAAAUUUUUGAUUAAAUCGGUUAUCUAGUCUGACUUUAAAAACGUUAUGCUAGAUUGAAGCCGGUGACAUAUUUGCAUUUAGUAGUUAGGAUAAUGCAAAGUUAUCCUCCCAAUUAGGGGAUUAUUCAACUCAAUAUUUCAAAAGACCAAAGUUUUAUUUGCCAGACUGAUAGCAUAAAGGUUAUUUCAUCCAUAGGGAGAAUUUAUCCCUCCCAAUUACAAUACCACCUUCAUCUCCUCUGUAGAUGUACCCAGAGGUAGGAGAAUAAAUUCAUCCGAUUAGUCGCAAGAAUCGAUGCAUUCAUUUACUUCUUUAUUCAUCCCUCCAAUCAAAUGCUAAAACAUAAGCUACUCUAUGGUGUAGACACUUGUAUUAACCCUUACAAAAUAAACCCCUCGACCAAAUGUAACCUUAUAAUGUUUACGGUCAGAAAUAAAUAAGAUUUUAUUAAGAGAGAGAGAGAGAGAGAGACCAAGUCUGUCGUGACCUAGAUUUGCAGCAAAUUAGCUUAGGAUUUGAGAUUUGAUUGAGUCCAUUCCAUCUAUUAAAUCCUCUCAUCAAGUUGAUAUGCAUUUGAUUUGGACGUAGUUAAAUCAUUUAAAUUGGGCACGAUAGAUUAGUAGCUAGAACCGUCAGACCUCUUUGCUUGAACCAAUCUUAGUUCUUCGUACCUUCACUCGCGACUCUUAUCAAGCAUGACCUCGGAACGGGCCAUACGCUAUAUAUAUAUUGCUAAGUUUGCUCCAAAUAAUCAUCGGCUCCUAGUGCAAUCUUGUGAUGACUGUAGACUGACGUAGAUUUUAGAUACUCUCAGCGCCACCCGCGAGCCAUGACAAAAAAAGUAUCAAAUUAAUUCAAAUAACUGACUUUGUCUGUUAAAGGUUUUUGUUUCGUGGAAGCCUUCUGCUUAACCCAAUUGGAACCUGCAAGGCAUCUCUCAAUCAAUUGCUAUGAUGAUAAAAAUCUGAGCACUACAUUAGAUUUGAUGCACCUGAUCGCUUGUAGAUUUUAUCUUGGAUUUUGCUUUCCACAAUGGAUUUCACUUUUCAAUUUUUACAUUUACCUUGUUCACUUAAAUAUCUGCUUUCUGAUCUCAUAGGCCAUAGCCUUCUACCUUUCUUGAAGCCGCCUCUGCAUCAAGAUGAAGACAAGAGUACAUAUUUGUAAUGGUAUUAUAUAUAUAUAUAUAUUUCGUGUAGAUUUGCGGCUACUUGCUCACAAAUUAUAUAAGCUCUCACCUUCCAUUCCACGUCGGCCUAAAUUUCUUUCCCAUGCGAAAGGGUUUAUCUCUGGGCCAGCUCAUUCCGGCCGCCAUAUUUUUUUAAUAAGAAAAACAAAAAUUUAAGUCAUGCGUUAUUUUUCUCGAGACGGAAAGAAAAAAAAAAAGAAGCAUUGAGCUGCCUUUGUUUAAAAAAAAAGAAAAAGAAAAAAAAAAGACAUCAGUAAGGCAGAUAGCGAUCAAUUAUCAUCACCGUUGAAUGCGAGGAAUUGUCGCCCACACCGCGUGCACGAGGGUGGCCGCGUACGCCGUCAAUCAUGACCGUUGGUUUUUAUCAUGAUAUAUCGAGUGCGCGCUUGAUGGAUGAGGUUCGUAGAAUCGGCGAUCCUGAUUGGCUGCCGUAGGCAAUGACUACUCUUUUUUUUUUGCAAACGAGCAAUAACUACUCAUUGAACACGCGUCUCGAGAGGGAAGUGGACUUCCUGCCGCUGAUCCGGGGGCGGCGGCGAUCUCAGCCGUCCGCGUGCCCCCUCCCAACGACCUUCCCCUUUCCUUCACGGAGCCUUCCCGGAAAAAAAAAAGUAGAAAGUCAGGAAUCCCCCAUAAUUCAUAAAUACCCCAAACUCCCCCUUUGCAUCACAACGUAAGAUCCAGUUAGUCUUGUUUCCUUUAUUUUUUCUCUGCCCCCCCGGAAAAAAGAUCGAGAGAGAUGGACGGAGCUCCGGCGAAUGAGUUCCCGGUGGUGGUGACGCAUGGAGGCCGAUAUCUUCAGUACAACAUAUUCAACAAUUUGUUUGAGAUCACUGCCAAGUAUCAGCCUCCCGUGAUGCCCAUUGGAAGGGGCGCAUACGGGAUCGUUUGGUACCCGUUCUUUCUCUCUCUCUCUCAUUUUUCUCGUGAAUUCUUCUUAUUUGUUUUACUUUUACCAAAGCAAGAAUUAUAAUCGGAAAAGAAUUGAUAGCUUCUGAUGAGCUAGAGUUGAUUAUUGUGGAGCCAAAUAGCUCUUGAUGCUGAUCCAAUUUGGAUCGUUUCACCGUGUGAUCUGUAAACCGUGCUGACUUUGAAAUUUUUCCUGGGUGUUUGUUUUGUAGUUCGGUGAUGAAUUCGGAGACAGGAGAGAUGGUUGCAAUCAAGAAGAUCGCCAACGCAUUUGAUAACCACAUGGAUGCAAAGCGGACCCUUCGCGAAAUCAAGCUCCUGAGACAUUUGGACCAUGAGAAUGUACGCGAUCGCUGCAGCCACUUUUCUAGAUCUUUUAGUUUUACAUAAUCGCUGGAUUUGCCUUCCUUGAUUGCCAAUUCUAUCAGCAUAUAGUUAUUUUGUGAGGAACUUUGUCAUCGGAUUGUGUCCCCAAGGAUCCUGUAGUGUUCAUAAAGCACAAAACUUUUGUUUUUCCUCUUUCCUGUUUUUUUUGUGUGUGAAAUUUUGUUGCUUUGCCUAGAGCGAAUUGCUCAAAGCUUCAUUCUUGCUUCUGUGUUCUAAGUACAGUUCUGGUGCUCGAGGACUUGUCCAGCUUAAUCCUCCCUCCCCCUAAGAAAAUCAGUCUAAUCUAGUCCUUGGUAUUGAAUUUAUUAUACGAUAGCUUAUUUGAUUUUUCUCUGUAUGUGAUUAUAGUAGCAUGAUUGAUGGAGCUGCAUGAAGAAUCUGACGUCACGAACUUCCUUCCAAGCGAGAAAAAGGAACAAGAGAAUCUGACAUCAUGGACAACAUGCGUAUUGAAUGAUUCAACCCACCAAGAAAAACUGAUAAAACCUAAAGUGUGAAUCUAUCUAAUUUAUCAUGUAUGCUUCUCGAGUGCAAGAUCUCCUGAAGCAUUCAAAUUAUAAAUUCAAGACCUUUGUCUAUGUAAGCUUUUAUAUUGUAUGGUCAUCAUCAACUCCUGCUACUAGCGUAUUUUGACUAUAGAAGUAGUUUGUUAGAUGUAGGAAGUUGUUUAAUUAGAGUACUCAAAGAUAAAAAAAUUUGGCAUUUCAAUGACAAUCAGGAUAGCUCAAUUAAGCUCAGAAAAAUGGUCGGCAUGUUGCAAUUUCUUAGACUUGACCUGUCUCCUGCUUAAGUCCCAUCAUUGACACCACCUAUUUGAAAAUGGGGAUAUGGUGAAAUUAAGUACUUUGUCCUCUCAUGACAAUAGUAUUUGAGAGCUAAAUCUGAUGGCUGUUUAAUCUGGAUUUAGCUUUUGGUUUGCCCAGGAUUUCAUUUGACUGUUACUGCACAGACAUCUAGUGUGCUGGGAGCUUGAAUCAUUUGUUUUGUAACUUGUUGUUUUGUUUUCAUUGCCUGACACACAAUGAUCGUCUCUCUCAAGAUACAGUAAAAAUUCGCUGGGUAUUUCUAAGAGGUGUGCGCUAGUUAACCUUCCUUCAUGUCAUGCUAAGGUUAUUUUGGCAAAUGAUCGAACAGUUUCUAAUAUUAAGAACUAGAGCAAUUUCAUUUUCCAUCCAAGUUACUGGAAAUAUAAGUUUAACAGUCAUAUCAAGAUGCUGGCAACCUUUGUACGUACAAGCUGAAAUUAGCAACUAUGUGCUCUUAUCAGUUUAACAGAUACUUAAAACUUGAUAUCUGGAUUAAAAAAAUUCAGAUGGAGUACAACUCAAAUCAUUUUUUGUUUCCAAUAUUCUUUAGACACAUGCAAGUUGAGAUGUUAGUAAAAACUUCAUGUUGUGGUUCAAAUUCAGCUAGAAAAAUGCCUAAAUCAUGACUCAUUUUGCAGAAUUUUAAGACCUGCUGGAAUCAGCAAAAUUUUCAAUAAUAGAUUUUUUUUUUUUUUGAUAUUGCAUCACCUAAGUUAUUUUUUUUUCAAUUUUUAUUUUGAAGAUGAAAUAUUCACACCACUUUUACUUGAUUCUUAUCUUGAUUGAAUGCUGUUACUUGCAGGUUAUAGGAAUACGAGAUGUAAUCCCACCACCUAUCCCCCAGGCAUUUAAUGAUGUGUAUGUUGCAACUGAGCUUAUGGACACUGACCUCCAUCAUAUAAUUCGCUCCAAUCAAGAAUUAUCAGAGGAGCAUUGUCAGGUAGUAGUUCUGGUCCACGUUUCUCCAUUUUAUACACAGAAAAUCAGUUUCAUUUGCAAGUCUAAUCCCUGGCAACUGAUGAAUGGCUUCCUACUGGCCAAUCAUUCAGUACUUUCUGUAUCAGAUCCUUCGUGGUUUGAAAUAUAUACAUUCAGCGAAUGUUAUUCAUCGAGAUCUGAAGCCCAGCAAUCUUCUGCUUAAUGCAAACUGUGAUCUAAAAAUAUGUGAUUUUGGUCUUGCACGUCCUACAUCAGAAAAUGAAAAUAUGACUGAGUACGUAGUUACUAGGUGGUACAGAGCACCAGAAUUGCUGCUGAAUUCAACAGACUAUACUGCUUCCAUUGAUAUAUGGUCUGUAGGCUGCAUUUUUAUGGAGCUAAUGAAUAGGAAACCGCUGUUUCCUGGACGGGACCACAUGCAUCAGAUGCGUUUAAUUACAGAGGUACGAUAACUACCAGCUAGUGAGACUUCAUGAAUUUGAAAAAUAUAUUAAGUUAAAAAGGAGUUAAUAAUUUGACAGUUCGAGUACUUGUUUCUAGUGCUGAUGCUUACGACACAUCUUUUAAUCUUUCAGUGCAUUGGCACACCCACUGAAGCGGAGCUUGGAUUUCUACGGAGUGAAGAUGCAAGAAGGUAUAUGAGGCAUCUACCCCAGUAUCCUCGUCAACCAUUUACAAGCCUAUUUCCCCAUGUUCAUCCAGCUGCAAUUGAUCUUGUGGAAAAAAUGUUGACAUUCAAUCCCUCCAAAAGAGUUACAGGUAUUUUCUUUUUCUUCAUCUUUAAGAGGUUUUUAGUGCUAUAUUUGUUAAUUUCCCCAAUUGCUAGAACCAAGAAAGAAACAAGGGAGAAGACUUGGUCAUAUUUCAGGUAUAGUUUUAAGUAAAUAAUUAGAGAUAAAAAAGAAUCUAGGGAAUGAAAGAAAAAGGUUCCAUCUUCUUCUUGUUGUGAGUUACAGUGUACUUUUGGCUAGCUUUAUUGAAUGAUUAGCCUAAGAGACAAAUCUAAUGACUGUCUUUCUUAAAUGCUUUGGUACCUAUAGAAAACCACAUUCAGGCUCAGCACCCUGUUCUUGUUCUGAAAAUAAAAGCUUAUCAAUGCUAGCUGUCAUUUUGAUUGCUUAUAUACUCGCUGUCAUUUUGGUUGCUUAUAUACUCACUGCCAAUGGUAUAUAGCUGUUUAUCACAAGAUCAGAAAUUCAGACCCCUCUUUCAGCAAUUUAUUGGCCGAUGACUGAUAGAUAAGAUUGGAAGUAAUGUCUAUGCUCGUAAAUAUUAGUUAUAUUGCUUCCAAAGAGUAGUAUCAAGGAACCUAGGAGAGAGGGCCCAACCAAUAUGUUUUGUGUGUUUUGGGAGAACUGGAAAUUAUAUUACAAGAGGCAAGCUUCUUUUUUUGAAGAUUAUUUUAUUACUAUGGCACAUGCAAGCUUCUCCAGAAAAAGAGAACCACUUUAAUACUUGCUAUGAUAAUACAAUUUAGGAGGAUUCUUUUACUGUGAAAUUAUAUCUAUGCCUUUUCCAUCUAGUGAGUAAUAACUCUUCUUCGAGUGUGAUUGUAGUGGGACUAUCUUAGGUCCAUUACACUGUCUUCUUCAUAUGGGUUCCUUUUUGUGAAUCACAUCUGCUUACAAUACUUGGGGAGGAUAUAACUUAUUGACUGCUUAAAAGUUGAUCCAUUGCUUCUUGUUGUCAUUCUAAUUCUUUUUGCUUAUGCUUCUGCAGUCGAAGAAGCACUCUCUCAUCCAUACCUUGAAAGGUUACAUGACAUUGCUGAUGAACCUGUUUGUAUGGAACCUUUCUCCUUCGACUUCGAGCAAAAUGCCUUAAGUGAGGAGCAAAUGAAAGAGUUGAUAUACAGGGAAGCUCUAGCACUCAACUCAGACUCUGGCCACUGAAAAAAAAAAAUUAUCAUUCCAAACUUUCUGAUUUGAAUGCUUUUGUAAAUAUAUGAGAGCCUGAAGACUUUGGCGAUUGAAAUAUUCAGAUUUUUAUUUUGUAUUUGGGUGUGCAUGAGGAAGUUAUUUAUUUGUGCACAUAUGACAUCUGAGUUGCAUGUCAAUGUAUUUGUGAGACAACAUUAUGUAUACCUGGGUGUGUUUGUAUCAAAAAUAUGUUCAAUAUCGAAAUGUUCAAAAUUUUAGUUUAUCUUCUCUCAUUUUCUGAAUCUCGUAGUAUGAUAUUGCAGUUUCCUGAGGAAUCUUCAAUUUCAUUCAGCACAUUUCGAUAUUACCUGAUUUAUGUCUUAUGGUGCCAAACAAAAGCAUUACUGAUUUUAUUGGAUUAAGCCUUUUAGCUGUUCUGCCAAGCUUAAAUAUGUGUAUGUGAUGCCGUAUACUACGUUUAAGUUCUUGUCCUCUAUGGUGCCAUCAUAGCACCAGAAUACCAGGUCCCAUCAGAAGUUCUCAUUCUAGAUGUUCAGACAACUCUGAUGAAGGAUCGGAGAUGUCAAAAGCUGAAAGAAAAAAACAAAAAAGAUGGUGUUGAUAAUAUAAAGUCGUCAGGACUUGUUUCAAAAGACCUAUUAGCUUGUUCAUCAAAAAUUAGCUUAUUAUAAAUUCCUCAAGACAAUAUAAGUCUUCAAGACGGCUGCAAAAUUAGCUUGUUUCAAAAGACUUGUUUCUUUUCCACCAUACUCCAUCUAGUUUUAGUAAUCCAGUACUCUGCCAACAUUUAGCUUGUUCCAUUGUUGGGAUUACUUCUUUCCUUUGCUGCACUUAGUGCAGAGCUGCAUGAACUUCCCCCUGGCAUUUCCAAGUAAAUUUGCUUCUGUGCUGUUUCAAUCUGGCUUCAGAGAAAUUGGCUGCAGAAACUUAAUGCAGUGAACUCCAAAUAAGAUGCGUUAUGUGGCACUGAGAAAAAGUGAGGGCUGCAAAGUUUACAUGAAGCAAAGGAGUCCUAGGCUUGGUGGAGCGCAUAACGAAGGACAAUAAAUUGUUAUCAAGAGUCCCUUCUUCUCCAAUAAUUGGAUGAUUGUCCUCAAAGGAGUGCAACAGGAGUGGCCCAACAAGAACUGCUUGGCUUUGGAGUUUCUUCGCAUAACAAGAUGCCACCCUAUUAAAGGCACUCACAAAAAGCCAUGGAUGGUAGCCAAAGUUCCGUAGAUCCAUCAAAGUGCAAUCUUUUUUUCAUAGUAGCAACAUCAAUUAACCAAACUCUUGAGACCUAAUGAUAAAGUUAAAUAAAUAUCUAAAUCGGAUUCAUAAGUAGAUGACCUCACAUUUAUGAAACUUAACCUAGAAGGAAGCCGUUCUCAGUUCUCUUCAGGCUCUCUCCUCCCUGGUCCAGCUCAUGUUCUCUCUUCUUGUUCUUUGUGGGGGCAAGCUGCCCGGAUAUUGCUCAUGUGAUACUUUUUACUUUAUAGCUAUUCAAAUGUUCAAUCCAGAAAGGCCCAUCUCAUCUUUGCUGGAAGCCAGUAACUCCAAUAAACUGUGGACAUUGAGGAAAAAGUGAGGACAUUGAGGAAACCUACAGGGUUAAGUGAGGUUGAAGCUCAACUGAUAGCCCUAGGAGUUUAAUAAUGCGAGAUGAAGAUUACACACACAAACACACACAAUAGUGACUCAAUUUGGUUAAUUGCAAUAGAAAAAUAAAUGCACAAUAAGGAAAAGAAUGCGCGAGAAGAGAAUGGAGUGGCACAAGAGAUUUUGAAUUGUUCUGCAUUUUACACGCUGGUUAUCUUUAGUAGAAGAAACUAGAAUAUCCCAUGCAUCCUUGGAAAAUUGAUAGUUAAUUUAGAUUAGCAGCAAAGUAAUUUGAUUUACUAAGUUGAUGAACAUUCUCUAUUUGUAAAAUAAUGCUUGCAGCCAAGAAUUCUAUGUAGUGAACCUUCAUAAUUUAUCCAUGAACUCCACAAUGCCUCAUUUGUCACACCCCUCUUUACCUUUUUUUUCCCUUUUUUUUGCUUGAGGCCAUGGAUUUGAAUUUCUCAGUUCGGACGAAGUGGCAUUUUUUUUGACCUAAUGGGGUAGAUCUAUUUUUACUCUGGUUGAGUUGAGAUAUCUUAGUUGGACUCAACAGUUCUGGUCAUCCAAAAAGAAUAAUUUCCACCAGAAAACAUAUUGUAACCCAGAAGUUUGGAUUUAUACUGGAUCGGUCAACUUGAUGUGCCAAUUAGAUCAAUGGAGUUGCUGGAAUGGCUAAAAAGAAAUUAGAAUAUAGGUGUCAUUAGGUGGAAGAUCUUAAAAUAGGCAAAUCGGCACGAGAAUAAAAAGAACCAACGUUCCAUCGAGAAAGAAAAAAAAAGGACAACUUGUAAAUUGGACUUGAGUGCGACCCUAUUGACCCUAUCCACCGUAAUGACUCCAAACUAUUAAAAAAUUAAAUUAUCAAAGGAAUCCCCAAUCAACCAAGUACUACUCCCGAGGCCAGGAGCGGUGAGCUAACCUUGCGAGUGGCUAGACUCCGGCAAAAGAUAGAAGCAGCUGGAAGGCCCGAAGCCAGAGCGAGACUCGGCCGGGGAGGAUCUGAUCCGGUCACCGUCCGGUGAGAGAAAAUCCAGGGCCAUCGGUUUGCGGGCGCCACGUGCCCUUUCUCCUUUAUAAAGGAAAAAGGGGCCUUCUCGCCUCGCGGGGAGCCGAUCUCCUUCCCACUUCCGACUCCCUUUUCAGUUUGCAGGCUUUUUCUUUUCCCUCUAUUGUUUUCUGCCAACACUACAGCAGACUGCGGAUGCCUCUGUAACUCAAAUCUUAUGAUCUCGGACUAAGUCAAGGAGCUUUGGCUCUCCAUAAAUGGCGAAUAAUCUCCAAUUCUUCUUCCUCCAUCUGUUUCUUUUCUCCGUUUCUAAUGCUCAGAUGCCAGGUAUGUUACAGUGAAUUAUUCUAUAAGAUUAUUAGGUUUUUUUUUCUUCCUUUCAAUACACUGGAUGCAUUGUUUGUAGUUGGAUCUGCUGGUGGAUGUGGAAAAGUAAGGAUUACUGCUCUGGACUUUUAGUUUGUCCUCGUGAACACAAAUUGAUUGAACAUUUCUUUGCAUGUAAUUUGUUGUGAUGUCGACAUCUUGUUAUAAGUUCAUGAUAGUUAGAGAUAGACACAAUAAUUCACCUUUUCGGGUUUCAUUAUCCUGGCGACUUCUGUUGUCAUCAUUGUGUUGUGGCGUGAUAUUUUGCUUGUUCAGUAAUAAUCCAAUGAGGAUCAUCAUUGUUCUAUAUUCGAAUGUUGAGUAGUAAGAAUCCACAAAAUGUUUAUUACCCUGACAUGCAAAAAUUGCAGUCUAAAUUUUUCUUCUGAAAGUAUAAUAAUUCUGAAAAUUUGAAGCUUCGUUUACCUAUCAAGUCAUUAUUAGUACAUUGAAAAUCUACUUCUGAUGCAAUAUAGAAAAGAAUAGUCUCACUUCCAUUGUCAUUUUCAGCUCAUAUGAAUAUAAAUGGCAUAAGUGGUCUGACCAACAAUUCGUGUAUCUUGCUCUAGUAAUAAUGGAAGUUAUAACACUGAGGCAGUUGAUGACCUCUAUGUGCUCUCUUUCUCUCUCUCUCUCUCAAUAUUUUUAUUUUAGCAACCCAAGGUUUGAACCCUGGAACUCUCGAAGAGAAAGCCCAUAGGGGUGAGGUUCCAACAACUGUUAUUAACAGUUGUUGGCAUCUCUAGGUGCGCACUUCUUUUUAAAAUUCUCUAUGCUGCUGAUUUUUCCCCCUCAAUUUCUCAUAUGUUGUCUGCCUGUCACCUUAGCAUAUGUCUCAUAGUGCUAUUUCAUUGAAUCAUAUUUAUUUAUUGAAAGCAUUUUUUUUCCCUUUUCUAUAAGUAACUAGCUUCUAGUUAGAUGUAUCUGAACAAAGAUACAUGAUAUGCAGCAUUUUUUUUUCUUUUAAGAAAUAAUUUAUGUGCAUGCUCUUCAUGAGGCAGGUUUUUUGAGUCUGGACUGUGGAGGUACAGAGAAUCAUACGGAUGAUCUUGGUCUUGAGUGGACUCCAGACAAUCAGUCGAGUUUUGGUGGAACAGCUAAUGUAUCAGUUCCAAAUGAGACCCGGAGACAAUUUACAACAGUACGUUACUUCCCUGCAGAUAAUAGAAAGUACUGUUACACAUUGGAUGUGAUAACCAGAACUCGGUAUCUUGUACGAGCAAGCUUCUUGUAUGGGAACUUUGAUAACAGCAAUGUUUACCCAAAAUUUGACAUCUCAAUCGGGGCAACUUAUUGGUCAACCAUUGUUAUCUAUGACGCAGACGCCAUAAUAAGUGAGGAGUUGAUUUUGUUGGCUUCUUCUCCUAAAAUUAGCCUGUGCUUAUCUAAUGCUACAACUGGACAACCAUUUAUUUCUGCCCUCGAGCUACGACAGUUCAAUAAUUCACUUUAUCACACAGAAUUUGAAGCUCAGUUCUUUAUGAGCCUCUCUGCAAGAAUAAAUUUUGGUGCAGAGACUAAUGAGUCUGUCAGGUAUUCCUUGUUCAUGCUUUAAGAUCUGUUUCACAGUUCUUGACUGCUGUUUUUUGGAUAUUUCUUUUGGUUUCUAAUACAUUACCCUCUUGAAGAAACUGAUUUAGAUGUUUACAUGUGUCAAAAGAUGAUGCAAAUGCUCUGUGAUCAUCCUACUUUACCGAAAUAGUUUGUGACUACAAAGUGGAUGCUCUUCUAUGAUCAUGUUGUGGGUGUGGUUUCCUAACAUGUAAGAUAAGAUUAAGGAUGUUAUUAAUCUGCACCUGUCCUGUACUAUCUGAAAUCCAUGACAUUCCGUUGGCAUCUACUUUGAAAAGCACCCAUCACUUAAAAUUCUCUAGAAUUACCCUACAGAUCUAGCUACACAAUCUAGACUGAAAAAAAAUCAUGCAUGAGUGUUGAUAGGCAUGUCACGUUAUUGCUUCCUAGCUGGCUUAUGAUAAACACAACAAUGCUCAUUUGUCAUAGUCAUGUAAUAUAAUUGUGCCCAAUAUUACUGCUAUGUAGGUUUCUAAAUCUCAUAACUAUUCUCUUAUGAAUAUGAUGUCUAUGCUCCAUAUCAUGCACCCCAAAACCCAUGAAUUGGAAAGAGUUCGCUCAUUUUAUUUUGAUCUGAGAACUCUUCGAAUUUAAAUCCAAGAAUUCAUGAUAACCAUAGAUCUGUUGCCCACAAUAUUGUAGAACUCUUGAAGAUUAACUUGAAGCAAUCAAAUGUUCCUGCCUAGUCUAGUGAUCAUCGAAUCUUUGCGAUAUAUGUGGGCCCAUGAAGAAAGAAGUGAUUAUAUGCCUACCAAGAAAAGAAAAAAAGAAACUGAAAAUAUAAAACUUCAGAAAUCAGAUAUAUUUUUUCUAAAUGCAAGAUAGAGUAAAUACAGGACUACUAAUACAAUACAGGAUCCUAAUAAUGUCCUUGCAGACUAGAAUAAACAUUUAUCAUAUGAUGAUGGACCUGACAGCAAAGGUCCAUCUUCUUUAAAACUGAAAAAAACACUUCCAAAUUGAAUGAAAAACUUUACUCUGGAAUAUCUUUAUCAUCUGAUGGUUGACCUGGCAGUCAAAUCUCUGUCAUCUGUUUAAGCUGAAAAAAGCAUUUUUUUAGAUUGAGUAAGAAUUUUAAUUGGGCAUAAAAGAUUACACUUUAAGACUUGGAUAAGUUUCUAAAAUUAAGCAUCCAGAGAGUAGCAUUAUUUUCUUUUAGUUCUGUUUAUGCUUUAGCCAUCGUACAUCCUCCUCCCCACCUUGCUUUGUCAUUAUGUUGUGGCAUGUCAAGGUUUUUUACGUUCUACUGAUGUUUUUCUUUCAGGUAUCCAGAUGAUCCAUUUGAUAGAAUAUGGGAAUCUGAUUCUUUGAGGAGGGCAAACUACCUUGUUGACGUUGCUCCUGGAACUGAAAAAGUAUCAACAACAUUGCCUGUAGAUGUUAGCACUGGUGAAAGACCACCUCAAAAGGUGAUGCAGACAGCUGUAGUGGGUCAAAAUGGAACCUUAACUUAUCGGCUAAACUUGGAUGGUUUUCCAGGGUUUGGUUGGGCAUUCUCAUACUUUGCAGAAAUCGAGGAUUUUGGUUCAAAUGAAACAAGGAAAUUUAAGUUAGCUAUUCCGGGAAAUAAGGAUGUCAGUAAACCCACAGUCAACAUUGAAGAAAAUGCUCCAGGGAAGUAUCGGUUGUAUGAACCAGGAUACUAUAACAUAUCCUUACCAUUUGUCUUCUCUUUCGCAUUUGUGAAAACAAAUGACUCAUCCAGGGGACCUAUCUUAAAUGCUUUGGAGAUCUACAAGUACCUGCAGAUAAAUUAUGGCUCUCAAGAUGGUAAGCUUGAAUAUCGUUUUGUCAUACCUGUCUAAAUUGUGU
rnacentral:lncRNA from 1 species